rnacentral:lncRNA from 1 species
CAGAUGCCUUCCUCUUGUCUCAACUGCAAGAGGCAUGCCUUCCUCUUAUACUAAUCCUCCUCAGCACAGACCCUUCACGGGUGUCGGGCUGGGGGACGGUCAGGUCUUUCCCUUCCCACGAGGCCAUAUUUCAGACUAUCACAUGGGGAGAAACCUUGGACAAUACCUGGCUUUCCUAGGCAGAGGUGCCUGUGGCCUUCCGCAGUUUUUGUGUCCCUGGGUACUUGAGAUUAGGGAGUGGUGAUGACUCUUAAGGAGAGUGCUGCCUUCAAGCAUCUGUUUAACAAAGCACAUCUUGCACCGCCCUUAAUCCAUUUAACUCUGAGUUGACACAGCACACGUUUCAGAGAGCACGGGGUUGGGGGUAAGGUUAUAGAUUAACAGAAUCUCAAGGCAGAAGAAUUUUUCUUAGUACAGAACAAAAUGGAGUCUCCUAUGUCUACUUCUUUCUACACAGACACAGUAACAAUCUGAUCUCUCUUGCUUUUCUCCACACCACAAACCCCUUAGUAUUAAGCUCCAAGACAUAUUUUUGUCAUAUCUUUAUUGCUUAUAAUUUUCUAUCUUUAGAUAUUAAGUAUUUGUUGAAAAUCCCAUGAAAAGCUUUCAGAAAUUGGAUUGCAUUUCUUGCUUAUUAUACAUCCCUUGACUAUUUUGUAAUUGUGUGUAUUUGUGGAGGUCACAUGUAAAUAAACUUAAAGUGACUCUACUUUGUGAAAAUGUGAAACUUCGUGUAGGUACUCAGUAAAUCAGUAAAUUCUUACUAACGUUAGCCCCCAGCCUAGCUAUGGAGGGUGCAUGCUGAGCCCGAAGCAGAGAGCUCUGUAAUCUCUGCAUUCAUCACCACCAUGAGGAGGCCUCAGAAGCUUCUAGCACUGUUUGCACCUUCCCCACAUCACCCCUCCCUGCCUUCCUCACAGUCUUCCUUCUGAUCAGAAGACCCUUUCCUUCUUUCUCUGCCUGUCAAAAUGCUGCUCACUCUUCAAACCCUAGCUCAUAUGAAAGUGUCUGGUGUGAGCCCACUUUUAUUGAGUUGAUUCUGUAUCUUUGAUACAACUGUAUGAGGGUUCUCCAGAGACACAACAAAUAGAAGGGAGACGUAAGAAAUUGGUUUAAAGGUUCAAUUGCUAAUCUCAUCCAAAAACACCCUUACAGACACGCCCAGAAAUAAUGCUUAACCAUGUAUCUGAGCACCUCAUGAUGCCGUCAAGUUGACAAACAAAAUUAACCAUCGCAGCAGCCAUACAUUUAAAUAUAUUUGUACCAGAGAACUUACCUGAUUCUACCUGCACUUCAGAUGCUUAAGACAUGUCUGUUUUCUCCACUUUCCCCAACCAGAUUGUGAGUCGCUUUCACCUAAGGUCUUGUUUUUUUUUCCUUUUUCUUUUUCUUUUUUUUUGAGACGGAGUCUCGUUCUGUCACCAGGCUGGAGUGCAGUGGCGCGACCUCGACUCACUGCAACCUUCACCUCCCAGGUUCAAGCGAUUCUCCUGCCUCAGCCUCCCGAGAGGCUGAGGUGGGAAGAUCAGUGGAGCCUGGGAGGUCGAGGCUGCAGUGAGUGGAGAUGGCACCACUUGCCCUCCAGCCUGAGAAACAGGGUUAAAAAAAAAAAAAGAAAACCAGUUUU